rnacentral:rRNA from 1 species
CAAUAGCGUAUAUUUAAGUUGUUGCAGUUAAAAAGCUCGUAGUUGGAUUUCGGAUGGGACUUGCCGGUCCGUCGUUUCGAUGUGCACUGGCCAGUCCUAUCUUGUUGUCGGGGACUAGCUCCUGGGCUUCACUGUCCGGGACUAGGAGCUGACGAGGUUACUUUGAGUAAAUUAGAGUGUUCAAAGCAAGCCUACGCUCUGAAUACAUUAGCAUGGAAUAACACGAUAGGACUCUGGCUUAUCUUGUUGGUCUGUGAGACCAGAGUAAUGAUUAAGAGGGACAGUCGGGGGCAUUCGUAUUUCAUUGUCAGAGGUGGAAUUCUUGGAUUUAUGAAAGACGAACUUCUGCGAAAGCAUUUGUCAAGGAUGUUUUCAUUAA